UAAAACAAUAAUCUUUAUAUCUUCCCGAUACUGAUAUCUCGACUGCUGAAACACCGUUUUCAAUGGUUCACAAGUUGUUUUCACGUUGCAAGUUAUUUGCGAGGAAUUUAAAACAGCCGAUUAAUUAAACUGCACUAAUGUACAUGUAUAUACAUGUAUAAUUAGAUUCAUAAUUUAUGCAUAUUAUAAAAUAAAACCACAUUAGAACUGAAAAGAGACAAGAUCACGCUGAUGAAGUUUUUACCAUAAUCUGACUUUAUACAAUUAAUCAACAAUGUUUUGUUACAUGUCGGGUUAAUUAAACAAUUAAUCAUUUAUCUUAAAUGCCGGUUAAUUACACACGUUUUUGUAAGUAUGCAGUACAUUAAUAUUCAUGUAUUGUAACUUAACGUGUUGAAUAAUAGUUUAUCAGAUUUAAUUGAAAUAUAUUUUUUUGCUUCGAACUAUUAUUUUAUUUCAUUGGUGGCAUUCAAAUAACAGUGACGGUUAUUUAAAGCUUAAUUAUUUUAUUUUUUUUUAAACUUUUAAAGGAAGAAAGGUAAAAGCACAAGUUUCCACGUGUAUUAUUUUAUUAGUACUUUUCCAUAGGAAAGAGGGAUCAAUUCCAAAAUAUUACGCACUCAGUAAUGUAAUAUUGAUAUAUAAAAAAACUAAACUUCAACCGAUGGUUCAAUACUAGAUUGUUUGUUAGAUAUGUAAACAACGUUGAUGAUGUUAUAAAACAUAAAGUUUAAGCGGAUAUUUCAAGUUCUUCCUGAAGUUCAAACAUUAAGCUAAAUAUCUUAAAAGACUUGUCCUUAAAUCAAUCGUCUCAAAACUAUUCAUAAUUUUCGGAAAAAGUUCUAAUCAUGAAUUGACCUAAUAGCGAACAGUUCAGACCAUGUUCACAGAGAACAGGUGUGUCGGUUGAUCUUGGUCUGCACUGGUCACACCGAUCUACUGGCACCAGUACGAUAAGAGUUCAAAUGUAUUAUAUAAGUAAGUAUAGGUGUACUAGUGGUGUAUAAAUUGUAUAUUUCUGUAAUGCAAAACAAAGUAUAUAUGUAAAUAA